CUGUACGUAAACACUGUACUCUAGGUGAUAAAAUUAUUUCCCAUGGAAAUACAGUAAACAAUAUACCAUUUUGUUU